GCAAGUCGAGCGGUAACAGGAAGAAAGCUUGCUUUCUUUGCUGACGAGCGGCGGACGGGUGAGUAAUGCCUGGGAAUAUGCCUUGAUGUGGGGGACAACAUGUGGAAACGCAUGCUAAUACCGCAUACGCCCUACGGGGGAAAGGAGGGGAUCUUCGGACCUUUCGCUAUUAGAUGAGCCUGCGUAAGAUUAGCUAGUUGGUGGGGUAAAGGCUCACCAAGGCGACGAUCUUUAGCUGGUCUGAGAGGAUGAUC
rnacentral:rRNA from 1 species